rnacentral:rRNA from 1 species
AUUGAACGCUGGCGGCAGGCCUAACACAUGCAAGUCGAGCGGAUGAAGGGAGCUUGCUCCUGGAUUCAGCGGCGGACGGGUGAGUAAUGCCUAGGAAUCUGCCUGGUAGUGGGGGAUAACGUCCGGAAACGGGCGCUAAUACCGCAUACGUCCUGCGGGAGAAAGUGGGGGAUCUUCGGACCUCACGCUAUCAGAUGAGCCUAGGUCGGAUUAGCUAGUUGGUGGGGUAAAGGCCUACCAAGGCGACGAUCCGUAACUGGUCUGAGAGGAUGAUCAGUCACACUGGAACUGAGACACGGUCCAGACUCCUGAGGGAGGCAGCAGUGGGGAAUAUUGGACAAUAGGCGAAAGCAUGAUCCAGCCAUGCCGCGUGUGUGAAGAAGGUCUUCGGAUUGUAAAGCACUUUAAGUUGGGAGGAAGGGCAGUAAGUUAAUACCUUGCUGGUUUGACGUUACCAACAGAAUAAGCACCGGCUAACUUCGUG